rnacentral:rRNA from 1 species
CGGAUCGGAGUCUGCAACCCGACUCCGUGAAGCUGGAUUCGCUAGUAAUCGCGCAUCAGCCAUGGCGCGGUGAAUACGUUCCCGGGCCUUGUACACACCGCCCGUCAAGCCAUGGAAGCCGGGGGCGCUUGAAGUGCGUUGCCGCAAGGCGCGCCCUAGAGCGAAACCGGUGACUGGGGCUAAGUCGUAACAAGGUAAC